rnacentral:rRNA from 1 species
GUCCUCUUGUUUGUAUAUGAGGUCUGACCUGCCCAGUGAAAAUGUUUUAACGGCCGCGGUAUCUUGACCGUGCAAAGGUAGCAUAAUCAUUAGUCUUUUAAUAGGAGGCUGGUAUGAAAGGUUUGACGAGUUAUCAGCUGUCUCAUUUGAUUUGUAAUUAAAAUUUAAUUUUUCAGUUAAAAAGCUGAAAUUUGUUUGGAAGACGAGAAGACCCUAUAGAGCUUUAUAAAUAAAGUGUUUAUUUAAAUUUUUGAAUUAUUAUAUUUAUUUAUUAUUUUAUUUAUUUUGUUGGGGUGACAAAAAUAUAUGAUUAACUUUUUUAUUUAUAUUACAUUGAUUUAUGAAUUUUGGAUCCAGUCAUACUGAUUGUUAGAUUAAGUUACC